rnacentral:rRNA from 1 species
GCAGUCGAGCGAGUCUGCCUUGAAGAUCGGAGUGCUUGCACUCUGUGAAACAAGAUACAGGCUAGCGGCGGACGGGUGAGUAACACGUGGGUAACCUGCCCAAGAGAUCGGGAUAACACCUGGAAACAGAUGCUAAUACCGGAUAAUAACAGAUGAUGCCUAUCAACUGUUUAAAAGAUGGUUCUGCUAUCACUCUUGGAUGGACCUGCGGUGCAUUAGCUAGUUGGUAGGGUAACGGCCUACCAAGGCGAUGAUGCAUAGCCGAGUUGAGAGACUGAUCGGCCACAUUGGGACUGAGACACGGCCCAAACUCCUACGGGAGGCAGCAGUAGGGAAUCUUCCACAAUGGACGCAAGUCUGAUGGAGCAACGCCGCGUGAGUGAAGAAGGGUUUCGGCUCGUAAAGCUCUGUUGUUGGUGAAGAAGGACAGGGGUAGUAACUGACCUUUGUUUGACGGUAAUCAAUUAGAAAGUCACGGCUAACUACGUGCCAGCAGCCGCAGUAAUACGUAGGUGGCAAGCGUUGUCCGGAUUUAUUGGGCGUAAAGCGAGUGCAGGCGGUUCGAUAAGUCUGAUGUGAAAGCCUUCGGCUCAACCGGAGAAUUGCAUCAGAAACUGUCGAGCUUGAGUACAGAAGAGGAGAGUGGAACUCCAUGUGUAGCGGUGAAAUGCGUAGAUAUAUGGAAGAACACCGGUGGCGAAGGCGGCUCUCUGGUCUGUUACUGACGCUGAGGCUCGAAAGCAUGGG